rnacentral:lncRNA from 1 species
AAGAAGAAGAAGAAGCUCACCUGUCAACGCUGUCGUCGGAGGGUCGCGGCGGCGAACGGCUGCUGCUGCGGCGGCGAGGGUCGCGGACUGGGGACUGGGGAGGCGGAACGGCUGCUGCAGCCUGCAGGGGCGAGGGGCUGGGAGCCUGGGAUGGCGCGGACGCCGGGCUGGCGACGGCGACUGGGGCGGCCGAGAGGUCAGGGCCGGCGCCGGCGGGCUGGGAGUUCAGUUUGGCCGUUUGGGAAUUGGGAAUUUGGGAGGGACGAAUUUGGGAACAGCCGCGGGAGGGAGGGAGAAUCCGAGUGACUAGGG